rnacentral:rRNA from 1 species
GACGAACGCUGGCGGCGCGCUUAACACAUGCAAGUCGAGCGAAGCGGCGGACGGGUGAGUAACACGUGAGUAACCUGCCUUAGACAUUGGGAUAGCCUCGGGAAACCGGGAGUAAUACCAAAUGGUCUAAGAUGGACUCGCGUCCCAUUAGCUAGUUGGUGGGUAACGGCCCAACAAGGCGACGAUGGGUAGCCUGCAUGAGAGGGUGAACGGACACAUUGGAACUGAGAAACGGUCCAAACUCUACGGGAGGGAGCAGUGGGGAAUAUUGCACAAUGGAGUGAACUCUGAUGCAGCGACGCGGCGUGAACGAAGAAGGCUUUCGAGUAGUAACGUUCGUUUAUAUGGGAAGCGGUACCAGAAGAAAAAGCCCCGGCUAACUACGUGCCAGCAGCCGCGGUAAUAC